CGCACCUUGCGCUCUCUGGUAUUCCGGAGAGCAUGCCUGUUUGAGUGUCAUGAACUCUUCAACCCACCGGUUCCUUGUUGGACCGAAUGGUGUUUGGAUUUUGAGCUCUGCUAUUCAUUUAGCUAGCUCGUAAUGCAUUAGCAUCUUUCAAUUUCAUAAUCGGAUUGACUCAGCGUAAUAGACUAUUCGCUGAGGACACUUUUACUAGUGGCCGGUAAUGGAGAUAGAGAAGCUUCCAACUCUUCUAGUCAACUUUAGAUUAGACCUCAAAUCAGGCAGGAUUACCCGCUGAACUUAA
rnacentral:misc_RNA from 1 species